rnacentral:rRNA from 1 species
UACGGAGGGUGCAAGCGUUAUCCGGAUUCACUGGGUUUAAAGGGUGCGUAGGCGGGCAGGUAAGUCAGUGGUGAAAUCUCCAAGCUUAACUUGGAAACUGCCGUUGAUACUAUCUGUCUUGAAUACUGUGGAGGUGAGCGGAAUAUGUCAUGUGGCGGUGAAAUGCUUAGAUAUGACAUAGAACACCAAUUGCGAAGGCAGCUCACUACACAGCCAUUGACGCUGAGGCACGAAAGCGUGGGGAUCAAACAGG